rnacentral:lncRNA from 1 species
CCCACCUUAAAAGCCCUUGACAUACUUAAUAGUAUAAGCAGAAGUCACCAUAAGAUUCUCUCCAGGAAUUUUUUAUCCUCUUCCGCAUCUAAAAUCCCUAAAAACAUUAAUAUCAUGAGCCCAAAACUCAACCGUUGAUCUAAUCAAGAACCAAAGCAUUCUAUUAUGAGAAAGAAGAAUGGGAAGAAGAAGAAUUUACAGUGAAAAGGUAUUGGGUUUUGGUUUCGUGAUUUUGAAUAGAUGGAGUGUUGGAGAAAUAAUAUGAGAAAGAAGAAAAGAAGAAUUUACAAUGAAUAUGCAUUGAGUUUGGGUUUUAUAAUUUUGAAAUAUAAAGACUUUUACUGAGGAUCAAUUGUCAAUUUACGUAUUCUAAAUAGCUAUUUUAGAUGAAAGUACUAUGAAUUUGGACGGAAAAGAAAGUGAGAGACUUAAGUGUUGGGUCGCCAAAAUAGAGUUAGAAGUGUUAAUUUCGUUAAAAUUCAAUAAUUAAAAAGUAAUUUUUCUUAUUAUUUAUAAAAAAUAUUUUUUAUUUAAAAAAUAUUUUUUAUAAACAAAACAGAGCCAUUAGGCUAAGAUAUUUUACAUUCAAUGUGCAUUUGAAAAAAAACCAAUGGAUAUAAAGACAUUUGGAGGAAAAAAAGAAAAAAAAGAAAACCCAGCUUUUGCGAUCUAAAACCCGACCCGAGCCAUGUCUAAAAUGAACAGAGUUGUAACCUGUAAGCCCCAUAUGCUCUGCUCUCUCUGUGCCGUUCUUCUUCUUCUCCGACGUUCUCUUUAUUCUGCAUCCCUCUUCGAUCUUCAGUCAACUCAUACACACAUCUUAUGUGGUCAUUAGCUGCCGUCUCGUGACGCGCCACCACCGACUUCGAGAGUGAAAACUGAAAUUGCUGCACUUUGAGACUCUGUUUUCAACUGUAAGUCUAUUCCUCUAUGAUUGAUUACUGUAUUUAGCAGAGACUAGAGAAGGAUCAGGGCACAUGACUGUUAAGAGAUCAAUCACUUAUAUUUCUUUCAAGAAUUAUCUUUAUCCUGAAUUUGUUUUAGUGCAGGUGAACUUUGAAAAAAAGAAAAGAGUAACGCCCUUGACUUUUCACUCAUUGGAUGCACCGUCACCAUUUUAUUGGUCGAAGAUAGAUUAAAAUAAAAUAUUUUAAAAUAUGAUAUGUGUCUAGAAUUCUUUUGUUUCUACACUUUAAUGAUUAUAUUUUUUAUUAUUUAAGAAAAAAACA